rnacentral:rRNA from 1 species
GGGAGGUAGUGACAAUAAAUAACAAUAUAGGGCUCUUUUGGGUCUUAUAAUUGGAAUGAGUACAAUUUAAAUCCCUUAACGAGGAACAAUUGGAGGGCAAGUCUGGUGCCAGCAGCCGCGGUAAUUCCAGCUCCAAUAGCGUAUAUUAAAGUUGUUGCAGUUAAAAAGCUCGUAGUUGAAUUUCGGGGUCAGUAGGUUGGUCGUGCCACUGGUAUGCACUGGCCUCACUGAUUCCUCCUUCUUGAAGAACUGUGAUGUCAUUCAUUUGGUGUUGCAGGGAAACAGGACUGUUACUUUGAAAAAAUUAGAGUGUUUAAAGCAGGCUAACGCUUGAAUACAUUAGCAUGGAAUAAUGAAAUAGGACGUUUGAUCCUAUUUUGUUGGUUUCUAGGAUCGACGUAAUGAUUAAUAGGGAUAGUUGGG